GGGCUGCUUGAAUGUGUAAAGCCAUCUCCAGCAGAAGGGAGUAGAGCAGCUUGCCUGAAUUCCCAAAAAGCCUGGGGCGUGGGAGAGCUGCCAAGCAGGAGACCCUGGGUCAGGGGAAGGGCCUGAUUUACAUGUGGAGCUAAGGUUAAACUGGUUUACUUGGAAAAAGCAGAAGCCAAGUCCUGAAGAAAAGGGACUGAAAGGCAGUGAAGGCUGCGAGGUCUCGGAGGCACUGGCUGGUCUAGAGUUCAGAGUGGAGAAGAAACCUGGACAAGGAUAGAGAAAGGAGACAGGGAACUUCUGUUCUGCCUCAUGACACGUGAACAAGAGGACCGUCAAUGAAAUGGAAAGAAUGACGGUGUUAAGAGAAGACUCUGGCCCACAGGAUUUGGAUACAGGACUUUCACCUCUAGGCCACUGGAGCAAAUCUGGACACGGUCCGGUGGAGACCAGAAGUAACUGGCACUGCUGGCCGUUCAGUGGCCUCUGUGAAAUGUGUGUGGUCUGUCAGGGUCCUAGUGGUCAUGGCCUGACCUCACAAAGGGCCCUUUGCUCACAGUUUCAGCAAUUUCAGCUGCUCACAAGUGGGGAAGUGGGGGGGGCUGCUUGCCUAGCGGCAUGGUUACGUCACUAUCCAGGGCUAUCAAGAAGCCAGUUUCUAACGCUAGCAUUCAACUCACUGAAAACUCUCCUACAAAUAUAUUUCAAAGGGAUUUCUCCUGCCUAAAGUUAAUCUGCACAAAGCUAAGACCUCCUUGGCCCCAAAGCGAGUUGGUGCGGGUGUGCUGCAGCUACGCAGAUCAAGGCCCUUAGUUUGCUGGCUCCUCAGUUCGGCCUAACCCUAAAGCUGGGGCCAUCCUUCCAUAGGAGUCACCUGCUGCUUUGCUCAGUGACCCAGUUAGAUGGAUUCACUGAUGCCAGCCAGUGCCCUGGGCCGAGGUUACUGGGCCUUAUGUUCCUGAAGCUGCUCCCUGCCUCAGCCAAGGGCGCCUGCCUCCCCCACCUGACACAUCAAAGCUUUGCAGUAUUUUCUUUUAAUCCAAAGGAAGCCCACUCCCUGCCCUCCCCUAAUCUCCUGCUCUAAUUGGGAAUAAAAUAGAACAAACAGGCAUAGGGGACUCUGGCAGAGAAAAUGUUUUAAUGAGCAGUAGGGGUUCCUGCACUAACUCUCUGCUUCUUCUCAGAGGCUGUCAGCUGGAAUGCUCUGUAACUGCAGCCUGGAUUUGAUGGGAAGCUCUCCGGAUGAGUCCCCAGGACCCCUGUACAGGGCCGUGCUCCCACAGCCAUUUGGAAGAGCUGCUUUUUCCUCUGGCACAUCCAGGCCUGCCUCUCUUACUCCCUAAGUGGCCUCACUCCAGGGGAUAAAAUGUACCGUUCAGCCGGCCACCUCUGAAAGACACCUGUUGAACAAACCUCAGCAGUGUCCCCUGGGGUUUGAGCCAGGAAGGAGAGGCUCUGUAGUUUAAUAGAAAGUUAAAGAGGAGAUCUUGCCUGGUUUUUGCCUUAGGUGGUUCCUUUGGGCCUGAUCCUGCA